CCGCCUGCCAAUGCAGGGGAUACGGGUUCCUGCCCCAGUCCGGGAAGAUCCCACGUGCCGCGGAGUGGCUGGGCCCGUGAGCCAUGGCCGCCAAGCCUGCGCGUCCGGAGCCUGUGCUCCGCAGCGGGAGAGGCCACAACAGUGAGGGGCCCGCGUACCGCAAAAAAAAAAACAACAUAAAACCAGAAACAUGGUUUUACUGGCCUUGCCUCAGUUUCUCAUGCUACCUCCUGUUCCUGGCAGCUGCCUACAGGGAGGGUUCACAGGUAGGGACCAAAGUAGGGCUAAGCACGAGCCACCUUAAUGCAACCUUGGAUCUGAGA